UCUACUUCGCAGUCUGUCAACACUCUGUCAUCAUCACACAUGGAUGGGCUGUGCAUUUUUCUGGUCAUUCUCUUAGGAGUUGCUUCUUGCAGCCAGGAUCAGACUUCACAAUCAGUAUUGGAGGUGACAGUCACACCAGGAGACAACAUCACUCUCUACUGUGACUGCAAAUUAUCAACUGGAGUAUACAUAGUGUGGUACAGAAACUGCUCUCAUAAGCACCAGCCAACUCUUGUUCGUCAAACAAAGGUCUCAGGAUACACUGACGCUAUUGAUCCUCUGAGCUCGAAGUUUGAGGUUUUGAGGAACUCUUCCUCUGAAUCUUAUGACCUGCUGAUCAUGAACAUCACUGAUUCUGACGAGGGCCUCUACUACUGUGGAACUGAAGAAAAGAAGACUCCAGUGAAACUCUUCAACCAAAGUCUCAGCCAGACCCUGAUUUGUGCUGGAUGCUGCUACUCACUUUGUGUCCAGCUUCUGCUUUACUCUCCUCUCUCCUGUCCUCUCUCGUGGUUUAUCAGCUCUGUCAGAAAAAAGCUAAAGAAGUUCAAGCUGAUCAGGAAAGACCUGACGAUCAAGGCCAAACGGGACUGAAUCAGGAUCAAGAUGUGUGUUAUGCUGCGCUGGAAAUCCGUCAGGCAUCACAGAGACCAAAGAAGCAGAAAAUAAAGAGUUUUGACUACAGCACCUACUCUGCCAUCAAUACUUCUAGGAUGUAGAACAGAAGCGUAUUGCUGCC